GAACCUUAAAACAUGUUAAUUUGAUAGUUCAUUACUUCUGUUAUCUUUACCAGGUAUUGGCAGGAGUUCAAUAACUUUCAGUUUCAAUUGAUCUCACAUCAGGAGGAGACGGAUGCAGUUUGGGCCAAGAUAGAAGUUUCACAAGCUCAUUUAGAGCUGUUGAAACAUACGAAUGUGCUCAAUGAUGCCUUCCCUAUCUGGUAUGAUGGAGACUUUGGAACAAUAAACAACUUCCGCCUGGGGAGACUUCCUAAGAUUCCGGUUGAAUGGGAUGAGAUAAAUGCUGCAUGGGGCCAAGCUUGCCUUCUCCUCCAUACAAUGUCUCAAUAUUUCAGGCCAAAGUUUCAGUAUC